rnacentral:rRNA from 1 species
AUUGAACGCUGGCGGCAGGCCUAACACAUGCAAGUCGAGCGGAUCGGCGGACGGGUGAGUAAUGCCUAGGAAUCUGCCUGUUAGUUGGGGAUAACGUCCGGACACGGGCGCUAAUACCGCAUACUAUCAGAUGAGCCUAGGUCGGAUUAGCUAGUUGGUGGGGUAAAGGCCUACCAAGGCGACGAUCCGUAACGUGUCUGAGAGGAUGAUCAGUCACACUGUAAGUGAGUGACGGGCAAGAAGCGUACGGGCGGCAGUAGUGAGGAAUAGUGUGCAAUGGGAGAAAGACGGGCCCAGCCAUGCGGCGUGUGGGAAGAAGGCGUGCAGAUCGUAAAGCACGUGAGGUUGGGAGGCAUGACCAAGAGAAUAAGCACCGGCGAACGUCGCGCCAGCCGCCGCGGUAAUAC